UUCAGCGAUCGACGCGGGAUCGGCUGGUGGUGGCACGGUAUCUGCCACAGGUGUGGUCGUCGUUGUCGCUGCAACGCUUUGGCUCCUCUGAUAUGAUCCAAGCAUAAAAUGAGUCCUUUAGGCUCGUUAAGGUACCACGACAACUCCCGCGGUUGUACAAAUCAAUAAUGAACAAUGUAAUGUGUGUUCGCCUUGUAGAUUGCAAUUGAAGCUUUAUGUGUAUUUAACGUCAUUCCUCAUAAGGGACCGUUCAUAAUUUAUGGGGAAAUGAUUUUAUGGAGAAGCAUUUACAAUGUGGAUGACCCCCUAAAAAUUUAUGUACAAAUUAAUGCCCCCCUCCUGCCCAUAACUUCUAAGCAUAAAUUUAAACGUAUUUUAUGUACAAAAUUGCUGACCCCCCGCUAGUACGUGUGCAUAAAAUUGCUGACCUUCCUAGAUCCCCAGAACAAAAUGGGUGACCACCCUUAAAAUCAUCCUCAGACCCCUAACCAUAAAUUAUGAACGGUCCCUAAUGCCAUAUGUGUAUGAUAAAUAUUGCAUUUAUUGCCUAUUGCUUGAAGUUCCGAUAGACUAUUACACGUCGCUCGAAGCAUUAGUUUAUUACUUUAGGUUCGACUCCCUCCUCAUGUUUCAAAGUCACAUGACGAGUUUCCUUGUGAAAUAAAUGAUACAUUGUAUAUACUGUACUAUGUAAGGCCCUUCGCUUUUUAGAUAUUGAAUGUUAUUUUUCGUGUAACCUAUUUUUAUCAUAUAUUUGUGCUUCUAAACCAUUGCCAACUUUUGUAUGUAGGAGAAGAUUAUGUCUACCAUUGUCUACGUUUUUAUAAUGCAGCCUUAUGAUAUUAUAAUACAAGUUAUGGUUUCAAUUAGGUAAGCACAGUGCAUGACACAACGGCGGCAAGUAUUUCAACAUGACUAACAUUUAAUUCAUUAAUCUUUACAAUACGUUUACAGUUGAUCUUUGUUUUAUAUUUUGAAUAUACACUUUAAUUAAGAAAAACAAACUUCAUUCGUGUCCAUGAUUGAACAAGUAUUUAGACUAUGUAUUCGAACGCACACUUAAUGCCACCUUUCGAUGUUUAAAAUAUAUCUUACAAUGUUGAUCAAUAAAAUUUGCAUGAAAAA